UUAAAUCACCUUUUGCCGGGAAGGACGCUCCUCUGGGGUGCCAGUUAUCAUACCCAUCAUGGUAAACGCUGGGUAGCCAAGUGCAGAGUGGAUAACCGUUGAAAGCAUCUAAGUAGUAAACCAAUCCUAAGAUGAA
rnacentral:ncRNA from 1 species